CGAACAAACUGAUUAUUUGUUGACAUUAUGGUUUGUGUGCAAUGGAACUUAAUACGCGCUAGAAGGGUAUUAAGGAAUCGUAGUUCUAAAAGGAGGUUUGUUGUCUAUGAAGUUAUUUAUAUUUAUUUUUGUUAAAAGGCUUAAUGUUUGGGCAAAUAUCCAAAAUAGCACCUUUUUAAGUUUAUAUCACAAAAAUAGCAUUCAAAAAUUAAAAUGACCAAAAUAACACCUUUCUAAGUUUAUCCUUUGAAAAUUUU
rnacentral:lncRNA from 1 species